rnacentral:rRNA from 1 species
CCUACGGGAGGCAGCAGUGGGGAAUUUUGGACAAUGGGCGCAAGCCUGAUCCAGCCAUGCCGCGUGUGGGAAGAAGGCCUUCGGGUUGUAAACCACUUUUGUCAGGGAAGGAAACGGCUCUUACUAAUAUUAGGGGCUAAUGACGGUACCUGAAGAAUAUGCACCGGCUAACUACGUGCCAGCAGCCGCGGUAAUACGUAGGGUGCAAGCGUUAAUCGGAAUUACUGGGCGUAAAGCGUGCGCAGGCGGCUUUGCAAGACAGAUGUGAAAUCCCCGGGCUCAACCUGGGAACUGCAUUUGUGACUGCAUGGCUAGAGUACGGUAGAGGGGGGAUGGAAUUCCGCGUGUAGCAGUGAAAUGCGUAGAUAUGCGGAGGAACACCGAUGGCGAAGGCAAUCCCCUGGACCUGUACUGACGCUCAUGCACGAAAGCGUGGGGAGCAAACAGGAUUAGAUACCCUGGCAGUCCACGCCCUAAACGAUGUCAACUGGUUGUUGGACGGCUUGCUGUUCAGUAACGAAGCUAACGCGUGAAGUUGACCGCCUGGGGAGUACGGCCGCAAGGUUGAAACGUCAAAGGAUUGACGGNUGAGAGNGCGAGCGACGACGAGGGAGAGG